AUACUACCAAAAAAAAAUAAUAACAGUAAUUGGAAUGAUACAGAGAAUAGGAUGGUCCCUGCACAAGGAUGACAUCCAAAUUAGUGAAGCGUUCCAUUAAAAG